GCAUCAGGUAACAUCAAAUCGUACCCCAAACCGACACAGGUGGUCAGGUAGAGAAUACCAAGGCGCUUGAGAGAACUCGGGUGAAGGAACUAGGCAAAAUGGUGCCGUAACUUCGGGAGAAGGCACGCUGGUGUGUAGGUGAAGUCCCUGCGGAUGGAGCUGAGACCAGUCGAAGAUACCAGCUGGCUGCAACUGUUUAUUAAAAACACAGCACUGUGCAAACACGAAAGUGGACGUAUACGGUGUGACGCCUGCCCGGUGCCGGAAGGUUAAGUAAACGGCGGCCGUAACUAUAACGGUCCUAAGGUAGCGAAAUUCCUUGUCGGGUAAGUUCCGACCUGCACGAAUGGCGUAAUGAUGGCCAGGCUGUCUCCACCCGAGACUCAGUGAAAUUGAACUCGCUGUGAAGAUGCAGUGUACCCGCGGCAAGACGGAAAGACCCCGUGAACCUUUACUAUAGCUUGACACUGAACAUUGAGCCUUGAUGUGUAGGAUAGGUGGGAGGCUUUGAAGCGUGGACGCCAGUCUGCGUGGAGCCAACCUUGAAAUACCACCCUUUAAUGUUUGAUGUUCUAACGUUGGCCCCUUACCGGGGUUGCGGACAGUGUCUGGUGGGUAGUUUGACUGGGGCGGUCUCCUCCCAAAGCGUAACGGAGGAGCACGAAGGUUAGCUAAUCCUGGUCGGACAUCAGGAGGUUAGUGCAAUGGCAUAAGCUAGCUUGACUGCGAGCGUGACGGCGCGAGCAGGUGCGAAAGCAGGUCAUAGUGAUCCGGUGGUUCUGAAUGGAAGGGCCAUCGCUCAACGGAUAAANNNNNNNNNNNNNNNNNNNNNNNNNNNNNNNNNNNNNNNNNNNNNNNNNNNCGAGCUGGGUUUAGAACGUCGUGAGACAGUUCGGUCCCUAUCUGCCGUGGGCGCUGGAGAAUUGAGGGGGGCUGCUCCUAGUACGAGAGGACCGGAGUGAACGCACCGCUGGUGUUCGGGUUGUCAUGCCAAUGGCACUGCCCGGUAGCUAAGUGCGGAAGAGAUAAGUGCUGAAAGCAUCUAAGCACGAAACUUGCCCCGAGAUGAGUUUUCCCUGACCCCUUGAGGGUCCUGAAGGGACGUUGAAGACGACGACGUUGAUAGGCCGGGUGUGUAAGCGCAGCGAUGCGUUGAGCUAACCGGUACUAAUGACCCGUGAGGCUUAACCUU
rnacentral:rRNA from 1 species